UUACGGCCAUAUCACGUUAAAACUCCGGUUCUCGAACGAUCACCGAAGUUAAGCAACGUUGAGCUUGGUCAGUACCUAAAUGGAUGACCGCUUGGGAAUACUAGGUGCUGUAAG